rnacentral:misc_RNA from 1 species
AAGUCGUAACAAGGUCUCCGUAGGUGAACCUGCGGAGGGAUCAUUUGAGUAUCAAGGGGGGCAGCAAUGCCUAACCCAUGGGUUGAAGCGUGGACUGGAUGGAAGACGCGGCCUUUGGCACGGUGAGCGGCUUGCCGCCGCCGGGCUGAGGGACGUGGGUGGUCGCAGUGCCCAUCGAUGAUGGUGCUCGGCUAUAUGCAUGGACUUGUGUUGCAGGAUGCAGCAUUGGGCGGCCGUCAAGGUACGCUACCCGGAAAACUGGCACCAGCGGUAGGCGCAAGCCAUACGCAACAUGAAAUAGAUACAACUUUUGGCAACGGAUCUCUUGGUUCCC